rnacentral:rRNA from 1 species
UACAGAGGGUGCUAGCGUUGUUCGGAAUUACUGGGCGUAAAGGGCGCGUAGGCGGCCCGCUAAGUCGAACGUGAAAUCCCCGGGCUCAACCCGGGAACUGCGUCCGAUACUGGCAGGCUUGAGUCCGGGAGAGGGAUGUGGAAUUCCAGGUGUAGCGGUGAAAUGCGUAGAUAUCUGGAGGAAUACCGGUGGCGAAGGCGGCAUCCUGGACCGGCAUUGACGCUGAGGAGCGAAAGCCAGGGGAGCAAACGGG